AUGAUCUCACAGACUCAGCUGAUUUGGCUCCUUGUACUUUGGAUACAGGACUCCAGUGGGGACAUUCUCAUGACUCAGACUCCAGAACUGCUGUUGGUAUCUCCAGGAGACAGAGUCACUAUCAACUGCAAAGCCAGUUCCAGUGCUAGUAGCAACAUGGCCUGGUACCAACAGAAAUCAGGACAAGCUCCUAAGCUCCUUAUCCGCAGCGCUUCCACCCGUCCCUCUGGGAUCCCAGACCGGUUCAGCGGCAGUGGGUCUGGCACCGACUUCACAUUUACAAUCAGCCGAGUUGAAGGGGACGAUGCUGGAGAUUAUUACUGUCAGCAUUAUUACGGCACCCCUCUCACACAGUGA